UAUUUGAAAUUAUUUAAAUAUCUCUAUUUUAAGAAUCUGCAUAAAAUGUAAAAAUUUGAAAAACUGUGAUUUGCAACUAAUUCCGUAAUAGUUCAACUAAGAAUUUUAACAAGAAGCACUUUGCUAAGCAUAAGAUAAAACUAAAUCUGUCCAUUGCUUGUAUGCAAAAUAAUUUAAAAAUGAGUGUAUAAUAUUUGGUAGCUUCAGCAUAACUUAAUAUGAAAAUAUUGUAUUCACACAAAUUUAAUCAAAUAGAUUAUUCUCAAUAAAUUUUAGUUAUCGUAUAGGUAAUUCAAAUGAAAUAUACUACUAAUAAACUGCAAUAGAUUUGAAGUGAAAAUUAAAAAUUUGACUGUAGCAACUGUUACACCUGUUAAACUCUGACUUAUUUUAUUAGAUCUAUGGGGAGGAAACAAAAUUUACUUUUAUUUUUUUUAUUUCAUAACUUUAUUUAUUAUACUUCGUAUAUUUCAGUGACUGCACUUUGUUCUGAAAAAAAAAAUCAUAAUUUUUUUCAAUUUCUAUAUAUUUUUCUAGUAGUAAAUUAGAUAAAUUGCAAUUUUGCAAAUUCUUAGUCAUAAUUAUUCAAUAUUUACUAUUGAUAAUCAAUCAUCCUCUUCACCAAAACUUAUGAUUUUCGACAGUGAUUGUCAAAACUAAAAGGGGGGUUAAUGUCAGAACAAUUGAACAUCAUAGUUGAUCACUUGUUAUUUUCUAUGUUUAUUUAUUUAUAAUUACUUCACAUUCAUAUUAGCCAACAAUUAUUUUCUUACCUAAAAUUUUAGGUUUCUGAUAUGAGUGUUAAAACUGUGGUUAAAUCUGGAUAAAACAGUCAAUUGUCUAAUGCGUGCCAACUUUGACUUUAGCGUUUUCUCCACUGUGAAUAAACUUCGUCCUCCUUGCUUCAAUUUUGAUUUUUUUUCCCCAGGCAUGAAAAUUUACUUCAUUUCAAUGAAAGCAUAUUCCCAGUUAAAUAGUUUGAAAUGUGCACUGGAUGAUGAACAGAGGUUCUGUAUCUAUUUAUCCUUGUGGUAUUGGUGGACAAGAGGGUAC